rnacentral:tRNA from 1 species
CGGACCGUGGCUCAAGGGAAGAGCGUCUGCUCUGCAAGCAGAAGGUGGGAGUUCGAUUCUCCCCGGUUCUG